UGGGGAAUUUUCCGCAAUGGGCGAAAGCCUGACGGAGCAAUACCGCGUGAGGGAGGAAGGCUUUUGGGUUGUAAACCUCUUUUCUCAAGGAAGAAGUUCUGACGGUACUUGAGGAAUCAGCAUCGGCUAACUCCGUGCCAGCAGCCGCGGUAAUACGGAGGGAGCUAGCGUUGUUCGGAAUUACUGGGCGUAAAGCGCGCGUAGGCGGCGUAUCAAGUCAGGGGUGAAAUCCCGGGGCUCAACCCCGGAACUGCCCUUGAAACUAGUAUGCUAGAAUACUGGAGAGGUGAGUGGAAUUCCGAGUGUAGAGGUGAAAUUCGUAGAUAUUCGGAAGAACACCAGUGGCGAAGGCGACUCACUGGACAGUUAUUGACGCUGAGGUGCGAAAGCGUGGGGAGCAAACAGGAUUAGAUACCCGUGUAGUCC
rnacentral:rRNA from 1 species